GGAACGGCACCAUAGAUACCUGAGCCUCAGCCCCUGGGACAAGGUUACCCUCAGCCUGGGUCGUAGCAUUCUCUCCAACAAGAUGGCCAGAACCGUUACAUUCUUCUACACCCUCUUCCUGCAUUGCCUGGUCUUCCUGGUGCUGUAUAAGACUGCCUGGAGUGAGAGCAUCGGUCGAGACUGCUCUGCCUUCUGUGCUAAGAAGUACUCGGAUCACCUGCAUCGUUUUCAUGAGAACGGGGACAACCUGUGAGGCUUUCAAGACAACUGGGGGUCAAUUCAUGACGUCAGUGAUCUUCAGGUCAGAAAGUCGGAGUUCUAGAAAGAUGCCAGAGUUUCCGACUUGGAAUUCCGAGUUGGGUGAUCGUUCAACACUAUUUUCCAAGUCUGAGUUUUUUGCAGAGUUGGUUUGACAGAAAGAACAGCUUUAUUUUCUGCAGUAGCUGCUUUUAACCACUAGGGGGUAGGCUUGCUCUCUUCUUCGGGAGGGGAACUAAGUGGAUGUGGUUUAUGUGCAAACCCGUAAUAUUUAAUCUUUUUGAAUCCUUUCAUUAACCGUAAACUUAAACGAGACCAAUGUGAUUUUGGCUAGUCGAGCUGUCAAUGGGAUGCUGGUCAGAAAAGUCUCCUUUAGGUCUUGCUAUAUUCUGUUCUAGCCUGUAAUCUCCUAUGCUGAUAUUAACUGUAAUCUCCUAUGCUGAUAUUAACUGUAAUCUCCUAUACUGAUAUUAACUGUAAUCUCCUAUACUGAUAUUAACUGUAAUCUCCUAUACUGAUAUUAACUGUAAUCUCCUAUACUGAUAUUAACUGUAAUCUCCUAUACUGAUAUUAACUGUAAUCUCCUAUACUGAUAUUAACUGUAAUCUCCUAUACUGAUAUUAACUGUAAUCUCCUAUACUGAUAUUAACUGUAAUCUCCUAUACUGAUAUUAACUGUAAUCUCCUAUACUGAUAUUAACUGUAAUCUCCUAUACUGAUAUUAACUGUAAUCUCCUAUACUGAUAUUAACUGUAAUCUCCUAUACUGAUAUUAACUGUAAUCUCCUAUGCUGAUAUUAACUGUAAUCUCCUAUGCUGAUAUUAACUGUAAUCUCCUAUACUGAUAUUAACUGUAAUCUCCUAUACUGAUAUUAACUGUAAUCUCCUAUGCUGAUAUUAACUGUAAUCUCCUAUGCUGAUAUUAACUGUAAUCUCCUAUACUGAUAUUAACUGUAAUCUCCUAUGCUGAUAUUAACUGUAGUCUCCUAUACUGAUAUUAACUGUAAUCUCCUAUACUGAUAUUAACUGUAAUCUCCUAUACUGAUAUUAACUGUAAUCUCCUAUGCUGAUAUUAACUGUAGUCUUCUGUACUGAUAUUAAUUUUGAUGAAUGAAGUACUGAUUGACAA